rnacentral:rRNA from 1 species
UACAGAGGUCUCAAGCGUUGUUCGGAUUCAUUGGGCGUAAAGGGUGCGUAGGUGGCGGGGUAAGUCAGGUGUAAAAUUUCGGAGCUUAACUCCGAAACUGCAUUUGAUACUGCCUUGCUUGAGGACUGGAGAGGAGACUGGAAUUCACGGUGUAGCAGUGAAAUGCGUAGAGAUCGUGAGGAAGACCAGUGGCGAAGGCGGGUCUCUGGACAGUUCCUGACACUGAGGCACGAAGGCCAGGGGAGCAAACGGG